UACGUAGGGUGCAAGCGUUAAUCGGAAUUACUGGGCGUAAAGCGUGCGCAGGCGGUUAUGUAAGACAGUUGUGAAAUCCCCGGGCUCAACCUGGGAACUGCAUCUGUGACUGCAUAGCUAGAGUACGGUAGAGGGGGAUGGAAUUCCGCGUGUAGCAGUGAAAUGCGUAGAUAUGCGGAGGAACACCGAUGGCGAAGGCAAUCCCCCUGGACCUGUACUGACGCUCAUGCACGAAAGCGUGGGGAGCAAACGAGG
rnacentral:rRNA from 1 species